rnacentral:rRNA from 1 species
GACGAACGCUGGCGGCGUGCUUAACACAUGCAAGUCGAACGGAAAGGCCCUGCUUUUGUGGGGUGCUCGAGUGGCGAACGGGUGAGUAACACGUGAGUAACCUGCCCUUGACUUUGGGAUAACUUCAGGAAACUGGGGCUAAUACCGGAUAGGAGCUCCUGCUGCAUGGUGGGGGUUGGAAAGUUUCGGCGGUUGGGGAUGGACUCGCGGCUUAUCAGCUUGUUGGUGGGGUAGUGGCUUACCAAGGCUUUGACGGGUAGCCGGCCUGAGAGGGUGACCGGCCACAUUGGGACUGGGAUACGGCCCAGACUCCUACGGGAGGGAGCAGUGGGGAAUAUUGGAAAAUGGGCGGAAGGCUUGUGCAGCAACGCCGCGUGGGGGAUGGCGGCCUUCGGGUUGUAAACCGCUUUCGCCUGUGACGAAGCGUGAGUGACGGUAAUGGGUAAAGAAGCACCGGCUAACUACGUG